rnacentral:rRNA from 1 species
AAAUUGAAGAGUUUGAUCAUGGCUCAGAUUGAACGCUGGCGGCAGGCCUAACACAUGCAAGUCGAGCGGAAACGAGUUAUCUGAACCUUCGGGGGACGAUAACGGCGUCGAGCGGCGGACGGGUGAGUAAUGCCUAGGAAAUUGCCCUGAUGUGGGGGAUAACCA